rnacentral:tRNA from 1 species
GGGGAUUUAGCUCAGUGGUAGAGCGCUUGCCUAGCAAGCACAAGGCCCUGGGUUUGACCCUCAGCUCCA